GCCCCGCCUCAUCCAUUGAAAUUGAUGGGGCAAGCUACGCAGCAGUUGCAUGUGGAAAAUCGAACUGAUGAGAUGUUUUUAAUGUUACUCCGCGUCAGGUAUCUGUUCUUCCAAUACUUCGUACAUUCUUUCGCGCUUAACUUAGUUUAAUUGACCUUUCGUCUUCGUUUGUGCAUAUUAUUGAUCCAUUGCGAGGGAAACUUGGAUGCAUUAGAGUGGAUUA